GGUAGCUCAGUGGUAGAGUGCUUGCCUUGCAUGCAUGUUGCCCUGGGUUUGAUUCCUGAGUACCA
rfam:Dipodomys ordii contig_65055, whole genome shotgun sequence.